rnacentral:rRNA from 1 species
AACGAACGCUGGCGGCAUGCCUAACACAUGCAAGUCGAACGAGACCUUCGGGUCUAUUGGCGCACGGGUGCGUAACGCGUGGGAACCUGCCCUUAGGUUCGGAAUAACUCCCCGAAAGGGGUGCUAAUACCGGAUAAUGUCUUCUGACCAAAGAUUUAUCGCCUUUGGAUGGUCCCGAGUUGGAUUAGCUAGUUGGUAGGGUAAAAGCUUACCAAGGCGACGAUCCAUAGCUGGUCUGAGAGGAUGAUCAGCCACACUGGGACUAGGACACGGCCCAGACUCCUACGGGAGGCACCAGUGGGGAAUAUUGGAAAAUCGGCGAAGGCAUGAUCCAGCAAUGCCGCGUGAGUGAUGAAGGCCUUAGGGUUGUAAAGCUCUUUUAACCGGGAUGAUAAUGACAGUACCGGGAGAAUAAGCCCCGGCUAACUACGUG